UGACUUCAAGCUGAAAAAAGUGAAGUACAUGCAGAGAAAAUCCUGACGGAUCAUUUCCAUUUGUUUUGGGACCUGUCCCUACAACUCUGCCACACUU